AUUGAGUUUUUGAUCAAUUUGUAUUAUGUUAUCUAUUGGUCAAUGAUUUCUCUAUAGAUCUACUCAAAGAUGCAAUAGUUUUUAUUCAUCCUUAUGUUUGAUCCAUAUGUACAGAUCUGUUUUGUGGUUAAUUACGUGCUUGAACUAUAUGUUUAAAUAACAUCCUAUCAGAUCUGUUUCUAUACAUUUCAUGUUUAAAAUUUAAACCCAUACAUUUAGAUCUUGUUUAUGAUGAAUCUGAUGAAGAAGUGAAGUACGAUUAAGAUUUUGCAGCUUUUUUUCCUUGUAAACUCAUAAUCGAACCAAUCCACCCCCACAACCGCAUAAGCCGCCACCUGACCAAUCUGAUGCCAUAAACAGUCAGGAUUGGUUUUGAUAUAUUGCUCUACCCUAGCUGCGAAUGUUAAUUGAUCAGGUAAUAUUCUUUUCUAAUAUUUUAAGUGGCAUUUCGAGAUAGUUUCACAUAAUAUAUUUAAUAUAUGCUUAAACCAAAUAUAAAAUUAUUUAGUUUGUUUAUUUAUUUAUUUAUUUUUAAACUCAACUUAACCGUAAUAAAACUAGGUUUUUUGUGCAUUUGAUCCCUGACAUUUUGGGUGAUUUUUGGUUUACUCUCUUGUUUUUUCUUUUCUUUUCAGUAAUGUCUGUAUAAUUUUAGAUUUUAAUUGUUUUAAUUCUAACUAGCUUAUUUUCCCGACAUUUUCCAGGUUAUAUAGAACUUAUUAUUAUUUUCUUUGAGUUAUAUGUAUGAUAUUCAUUGGGAUUUAACCCCUCCAAUAGUCAGUCCUUGAACUAGAUACAAUGUUUUGGAAACAAAUUAUUAUAUUCAUUAAAAAUUCCAUAUCUCAUAAAUAAUAAAAGAAAAAGGAUUACUCAUAUUAUAACCCACAAUUCAUUAAAUGAAUUAUCACCAUCUACUUAAAAUAUAAAAUCAAUAAAUUAUAGUUGUGUAAGUUGAAAUAUUAAAACACAAUCACAAAUCUUAGGCUCCAUGGUUUGCCGACAACGCCAAAAUUACCAUCGGAGGUGGAAAAGUUAUACCCUCUUUGACACGGAUGCUUUCUUUAACAUCGAUGAUUUCAUCAAUUUUGACGCCAGGGGUGACAACAAUUUUGUUCUUACCCUUUUUUUCUUCAAUAGCCUUUUUAUAAAUUGAUGAUAAUGCUGGAUUUGGUUCAAUUUAUGUUGGCUAUAAAAGUGUGGUACUAGAUAUGAUAAACCGUCAAUGUGAUGUAGUAUGAAAGGUUUAAUAGAUUUUUUCUCACGUUACUCAGAAUCUAAAAUGCUUUUCACCAAAUCCUAUAGUUACUUGUUGUUCAUGAAGAUGGUGAAUAUUUGAUUAUGAAUACAAAUUUGAGACAGAUAAAUUGUAGAGGUAAAUGAAAAGUCAAAAUAUAUCAAGCCUUGAACCUACAGGUACAUAUAUAUAACUAUAUCAGAAACUACGACAUUUAAUUUUAUCUAUUUCCGAUGCGUAUAAUAAAAAUUUAAUUUAAUCUAUUUGAAAAAUAAAUAAAUAAAAUUCAAAUCCAAAUUUUAGAAUUAAAAUAAUAUAAUAAAUUAAUUAAUAUUAAGAUAUAAUUUUUAAAUAUAAAUAUAAUAUUUUAAAGUUGAACGAUUUUAUUACCUUUUGCCUUUAGUGUCUCGGGAAAGUAAAUUCUUUGCACAAUAUUUGUUUGACCAGAUUAUAUAUUUUAUCAGGUUUUAUAAAGUAUUUUUCAUUACAAGAAAUAAAAUAAUAUUCAUUUCUUUUGAAUUUGGAAAUGGAUAACGUUAUAUACCUACAAAAAGUUAUUAAACAAUUUGGAUAUAAGUAUAUACGCACAUAUAUUCAAAUUAUACUGAUAUCCAAAUUCAAAUGAAAUUAUUUUAUUUUUGGUAAUAAAAAAUAAUUUAUUAAACCUGAUAACGCACAUAAUUUGGUCAAACAAAUAAUGUGCAGAGAAUUUACUUUUUCGAAACACUAAAGGCGAAAAGUAAUAAAAUCCACCAACUUUAAAAUAUUAUCUUUACAUUUGAGAAUUAUAUCUUUAUAUUCAUCUAUUUAUUAUGUUAUUAUAAUUCUAAAAUUUGGAUUUGAAUUUUAUUUCUUUAUUUUGCGAAUAAAUUAAAUUUUCAUUAUAAGCAUCGAAAGUAGAUAAAAUAAAAUGUCGUAGUUUCUGAUUGAUAUAUAUAUAUAUAUAUAUAUAUAUAUAUAUAUAUAUAUAUAUAUAUAUAUAUAUAUGUACCUGUUGGUUCAAGGCAUGAUAUAUUUUGAUUCUUCAUUACCUCUACGAUUUCUCUGUCUUAAAUUUGUAUUCAUCCUUAAAUAUUCACCAUCAUCAUGAAGAACAACAAACAACUAUGGAAUUUGGUGAAACACAUUUCAGAUUUUAAGUUACGUGAGAAGAAAUAUACUGAACCUUUCAUAUCGCAUCACAUUGACGGGUUACUAUCAUAUUUAGCUCCACACUUGUAUAGCCAACAUAAAUUGAAACAAAUUAACCAUUAUCAUCAAUCUAUAAAAAGGCUAUUGAAGAAAGAAAAAAAAUGGUCAAAAGCAAAUUGUUGUCACGCCUGAAAUCAAAAUUGAUAAAAUCAUUGAAGUCAAAGAAAGCUUAUGUGUCAAAGAGGGCAUCAACUUUGCCACCUUCGAUGGUGAUUUUGGCUUUGCCGACAAGCCAUGGAGCCUAAGAUUUGUGAUUGUGUUUUCGAGGUUCACGCACACACAAAUACACACAUCUAAUUUAAUUUUAAUCCAAUAACUAUUUAAAAUUUUCUCUACCAAUUUAUCAUUCAAACAAUGAAUUAUCUAUUGUAAAAAAAAAUUGGUUACAAAAUGUUUAGGUGAGCUUUGGAUGCUCACAGGGUCAGGGCCUCAAGCUCAAAAAACAUUUACAAAAGUAUUACGUAUCAUCCACCAAAGAUGUCCUAUCAUCGAUAAUGGCAAUUUAACUGACGACUAUAUAUAUAACACCCCGAAUUAUGAAUAUUAAUAUAUUAAUUAGUAUUAUUAUUAGAAAAUAGUAGUAUUAUUAUUAGUAUUGGUUUGUUUUAUAUUAUUAAUUUAAUUAUUCAUAUUUGUUCGGAAAAUAGGUAAUGAGGAAAUAGAUAGGUUAAUUGGUGGGUUAGAGUGAAGGAAAAUAAGUUUUAGGAAGAAAAUAACAUUUUUGGCGAGAAUAAUGAAGUAGGGUGCAAACAGUAGUGCAUUUUUUGCAACUCUCCAUAGCACCGAUCUCUUCUUCAUUGCUGAUUGCUUCCCUUUGCUCGAAGAACUCGAUCUUAGUGAUCCCGGAGAGUUCAUCUACCACAGUAGUUUACACGAUGGUGUUGAGGCUAUUUCAUUGCCACUUUUCAAACUCUGCAAGGUUAAUCUCUCUCAUCAUCACUACAUCAACGACCAAUCACUUUUCCAUUUGAUAAACAACUGUAAGCUUCUCGAAGAGGUUAUAGUCUUUUCUUGUCAUAGAUUAACCAUCUCCUGCAUUGCUUCUGCUUGCCGCAAGAGACCAACAUUGACGGUAUCAAUUUCCAUUACUUCCGAACCAGAGGACUAUGCAAUGUAAGUUACUUAACAUUUCAUUGAUCCGUUGGUGAGUUUAAAGGGUUUAACUUGUCUUGAUUUGUUAUAGAAAAUUGUCAUCUUUGUGGUUGUUUUAUUUCUUGAAGCUAUGGACUAACAGUUGUUUCCUUUCUUCAUUAAAUUAGUGUUUAAUUAAUUUUCCUUUGGUCAAAACAAGAUGAAUGAAAUCAUUAAAUCUAUUUGCAACCUUAAUCAGUAUUGAAUGCACAUUAGUUAUAAUGUAUUCAAAACUAUUUUUGUUUUGAAUUUACACACCUAACUUUUGGGUUGAUUUUAUGUAUAAAUGUUUAUUUAUUUGCUGUAAUAAAUCAAAGAAUAAGAAGGUGUCUUAUGGAUCAAGGGGUCCAAUCUAAAUUAUUUCUUGCUGUCUUCAUCUAGUUUUUUGUCGUGUUAAUGAUACGAAGGGAACAUGCAGCAAUUCUUUAUGUAAUUUUUCUUGAUGUUAUAUUGCUCUAUGAAAAUAUUUACUUUCGUGAUGCUGAAUGGUGAACUGCCGUUUUAUAAUUGAAUUGAAGAUUAUUUUCAUGAUGCUAGUAUUCUAGGAAUGAUGAGUAUGUAUAUAUAUGCCAUACUUGAAAUCCUGUAGACGUGCAGGUUUGAGGACGUUCUUGGCGACGUGAGUGCUCGAGGCUUAGCAUGGCGCUACCUCAUUUUUAUUUUGCUUGGAGUCUAAUAUAGACUCAGAUUAGGACAGUGUCGGGAUUAUGUUUAUUUACUUUUGGAUUUCUGUUGUGAUGAUGUUAUUUAUGUAUUUCAGAGACUGGAUAUAUGUUGUUGAGAUGCUGAGACAUCUGAUGAUUUUAUUUGUUUAUUCCGCUGCGAGUUUUUCUGUUGUCAUAUCUCAAUUUUUAACCUAAGAUUACAUUUCACAUUGUCUUUUGGUUCGGAAUAUUCUUUAUCUUUUCAAAAAAAAAAUUUUGGCAAAGAGGUAUUUUAAAAUACCUCAUUUUUGAGCCCACCUUUUAUUUAUUUUAUGUUAUUUUAUUUUAUUUUAGUCUUUUUAUUAUUUCCUUUUUUAUUUUAUUAUUUGGUCUGUACCUAUUUUUUUUUCUAUUUUUAUUUAAAUUAGUCUUUAAAAAAAAAAUGUCCAAGGUCAAAUCUCAGCCACGCCACCAUUCGUGGCCAAAUCACUCAUGUCAACUUUCCCAUUCCAAAAUUAUUCAAUCACAUUCAAACCACCAUCAAGUCCAUUAACCAGUUUUCUAUUUUUAAAAAUCAAAGAGCCUUUAAAAAUCAUGUAAUUUCAUCGGAGAAGGACAUCAAGAAAAACAGAGAAAGAAACCAAAACAAAUUCAUCAAGUCGUUGUCAUACCUCAAUUUUUUUUUAUCCAAAAUUCCAUUUCAUUUUGUCUAUCGGCCCAUAAUAUUUGUCUUUUCAAGAAAAAUUUCGGCAGAGAGGUAUUUUAAAAUACCUCAUUUUUGGUUCGUUUUUGGGUCCACUUUCUAUUUUAUUUUAUUCUUUUAUUUUUAUUAUCACUUUUUAUUUUGUCCAUCUUUCUUAUUAUUUAUUUUUAUUUUAUUUUCUGUUUUUAUUAGUUUUAAAAAAAAUGUCCAAGGGUCCAAGGCCGAUUCCGGCCAACGCCACCAUUCAUGGCCAAAAAUAGUCAAUGUUAACCUUCCCAUUCCAAAAUCAUCAAGGCACAUUCAAUCACCAUCAAAUCCAUUAGUCAAAAGCGGUCUCUAAUUUUCAAUUUUAGAAGAAAAAAAAAGUGGCCUUUAAAAAGAAAUAAAAAUCAUCAGCAAAAGAGGAAUCGAUAAAAAGCUGUAACAAAAACUUCAAAACAGUAACAAAAACUGUAACCACCACCAAACAGCCGCAAAACCAAAUUCGUAACCACCCAAAAAAAAAAUGACAAAAACAUUCAAAUACCAAAAAAAAAAAAAAAACAAAUUUCAAAAAGGAAUUCUUUUUCUAAAAAACCUUGAUUCUCAUCAAGAGAUUUUUUGUUUAAUUUUCUUAAAUAAAUACUUUAAUGCAUUUAAGAAUAUCUAAACUUUUUUUUUUUUAAAACUAAAAAACACCAAAACAAAUCUUUUCUUUUGCCAUUUGGCUUUUAUUUUCAAACCUCUUUUUUUUAUUUUAAAAAUAAAUAAAUAAAAAACAUCAAACAAAUCAUGUGGAUUCUUUUACCCCGAACUACGUGGUUUUGAUCUCUCACGGGUAAUAUUUUUUUGCAAGCAAAUAAUAAUUAAUUUUAGCCCAAAAAUAAAUAAAUACAAGAGGUUCCUAUAGAGUACUAUAGACGUUUAGGAUGCUAAUAUCUUCCUUUUACGUAACUAACCCCCGAACCUUAAAUCUCUUAUUUAAUUGUGGAUUUUAUUCGAACUUUUCCCCCUUCCCUUGGAAGAAUUAAAGCUCUGUGGUGAAUCCUAAAUUUGUGAGUUAACGCCAAUCAAUAGCUUGAUAUCUGAAAAUCACCGCGGCAUAUGUAAAUUGAAUUAUGCAUGUUUUGUGGAAAUGAUGUGACAUCUUGAACUCUUUUGAUUAAAUGAUAUAAUUGCAUUAAAUAUUGAUUGUGGGGUUCAAGGGUGUUACAAGCUAGGUGGUUGAAAUAGAAGCAUAUGCAAAUCAUCGUAUUCAAGUGUGUGGUUGAAAUGGAGAAGAAUCUCAUUUUUUUUUUUUUUUGAUGUAAAUCAUCGUAUUCAUUAUGGGUGAAUGAAAUGGAGAAGAGCCUCGAGUAUUUUAUGUGAUAUGAAAGUACCAUUCAACUUGAAGGGAAAAUCCUUCUGGGAAAAUUGUCAUACCGACGAUGUUGUAUGAAAUAAUUAAAGUGUUGGAUAAUUAAGAUCCAACGGAAGAAUAAAGUAAGCAUAGCGAAGAUGAGGAUGUUGAAUGGGAUAUGCGGUAAAAUUAGACUAGAUAUGAUUAGAAAUAACAACAAUAUAGAGUUCGGGUAGCAGCUAUAGUAGAAAAGAUGGUGGAAAAUAGUCUUAGGUGGUUUCGGCAUGUAGAGAGAAGACCUUUAAAUUAUGUCGUAAGGAUAAUAUAUUAGAUGGAGGAUUGUCAGAUUACAAGAGGUAGAAGAAGACCUAUAAAAACUAUAAGAGAAACAAUUAUGAAAGAAUUAGAUAUUAACGAGUUAGAUUAAAUAUAAUUUAUGAUAAAAUAUUACGGGAUCCAUGUAGCCGGCUUCAUUACGGAAAUAAUUCUUUAAAAGUCUUAAAUAAUAAUUUUCAUGAAAAUUUAUGUAUUAAACACAUUGAAUAUUACAUCAUCUGACUUUUAAAAAAAUAAUUUCUAAUUUCCCUUAAAAAAAAAGGAACAUUUUUAAUUUUAGAAUCCUUAAAAUAGUAGGACACACAUUAGCAUCUAAUAUGUUCAUUCCUAAACCCUAAACCCUAAUCAUGUUUUUUCAGCAUCUAUUAUCGCCACUAUUGACGGUGCAAGGUCUCUCAAGUUUUGUAUUUGUAUUAGGAUUUACGACACCGUUAAUAGUGCUCUUGCCAACAAGGAUUCCAUAUCCUUAAGGAUCAAACAGACCGAUCUUGAUUUUUUGUGUUCCCACUAAUGAAUAAAUGGUUAUUUCUGCUUCUGUUCACUUUAAAUAUAUAUGCUCUCUUCAAUUGCGUCUUUUACCAUGUAUAUAUUCGAGAAAAAACUUAGGGUAUAACAACAAUUCUUCAUGUAUAUAUAUUCGAGAAAAAACUUAGGCUACCGGUAGGAAACUGCAUAGACAGGCAAGAAACAUUAAUUUGUUAUCUUUUCAUUCAUUCAUUCAAAUGAAUAUUACGAUCUUCAAAACAUAUACAAAUGCGUUUGAUGCAUUUCGAAGAGCUUAAACAAAUUUAUCUUGUAAAUAAAUUCAACUUUAAUUUUGAUAUAAACAAGUUUAUAAGUGUUCAUAUACAAAGAUUUAUUCAAAUGAAACACCUUAUACUUUUCCUCUACAAUUAAAUCUCUCUAGUUGUUCCAUGUAGAUUUUUUCUUUAAGUUCUUCAUGUUGGAACACGCUCUUCACAUUCAUGCGUUUCAACUUAAGAUUGUAUUGAUAAUCGACAUAAGUACGCAAUGGAACAAUGUUUUAACCUCGGUGAAAAAAUCUCUUGUAAUCAAUAUGGCAUGGAGCACAUAACGGCAUUGUAGGAGAGGAAUAUGGUAGUGCCUUAGUACAAACUCUAGGCCUUGAUAACUACGAUUUGGAAUUGGCAUCCAAAAUUGUACCAAAUUACAUGAAUGUUUCAGAAUUCUGCUCAUUAUCCAAAUGGAAUCGCUCAUUCCUAAAGUAAAUGACCGAAAUACCCCUACGUAAGUUAACAUGCGCUACUGAAAAUUAUAACGUAACUUAAAAUAAGUAGCGUGACUUAACAUGCGAUACUGUUAUUUGUGAGUUAUUUGUUGAAUGCUUAGCGCAGGUUAACAUGCGCUAGUGUAUUGUGCAACGUGAGUUAACUCACGUUGACAUUUGCACUAGCGUGAGUUAACUCACAUUCAUAGCAGACAACAGAAACUGCAAUAAAUGCAGGCAUUUACAUAAUUAUCUUUUGAAAAGUCUAGAAUGACCUGUAAUCACGCCACAUUCAUAACUUAACUGAAUUACGCCAGUUUAACAAGAUUAUCGGAUAAUACGACAUAAUCGAUUCAAAUUACUCAAAAACAUCGUUUUUUCACAAUCAUGUAAUCACACAUAAACGAUCCAAACGGUCCAAAUUUCACAAAUUCGCCAGUAAUGACCCGUAAUAAUUUAAAUACACUUGACACAUAAACGAUCCAAAAUAAUUCAUUUCAUAUAUUUAUAUAAUAUUAGUUACAUAUUGGCCAUAAAUAUCAAAAUUACACAACUGGCCACCAAAAAAUUUGUCGGGGGUGUAAUACCACCAAAAAAUAGGACGAACACCGACCGACCCAAAAGUGUCAUAACCUAUCUAACUAGACUAUUGAUAGUGCAUAUUCUUCGUCUUCAUCCAUGACUUCGAUCUCUUGCUUUGGCUUUUCCGGAGUGUCCAAAUUAAUAGGAUUGUGCUCAUUUGUUGGUUUCUUUGGCGGCAUCGGCUCCUUAGACAUGAGCUCAUCGAAGGCGGCUUGUCUAUCCAAAAACUGAAAAAAGUCAUUGCUCCGCCACACCAAUCUUGUGAGUCAUCCACUCCUUAGAAGGAGGUGGUAGCGGACAAUUUUCUUUCAACUUCACAUGAAAAAAAUGUUCCGGAAUUAAGCAAAGGCACGUUAUGUUGGAAUGUUGAUUAAGUGGUGAAGCACUCCGAAUUGGGAAAUAUGUCUCACAGGCACCACCCAUUUCGGGCAAAGUCAAUAGAACAACGACUCUAUUGUAGCAACUAGCAAUGUGACCAUAUCCGGAGUGAUCAACCACUUCUCCGGUGGCGCAUCACCAUUUUUACUUCUCCGGUAGCAACUAGCAAUAAAGUAAAUUAAUAAUUAUUCAAUAUCCAAACAAUUCAUUUUUCUCCCUUUUUUGGUCAUUUUCUAUUUUUAAAAUUUAGGAUGUAGGUUAUGUACUUACCUUGUAAAAAAUAUCCGGUAGUCAAUGACUUAUGACUAGCUAAUAUCUUUCUCUUUUAUAAUCCAUUUUUGAAUGCAUUAAUUUGGCUUAUAUAUCACCAAGAGAAAAAAUAUUAAUCAUAUUUUAAAAUUUAGGAUGUAGGUUAUGUAUUUACCUUGUAAAAAAAUUCCGGUUGACAAUGACUUAUGACAUCUUUCUCUUUUAUAAUCCACUUUUGAAUGCAUUAAUUUGGCUUAUAUAUCAAAAAGAGAAAAACAAUUGAUCAUGAAUAUAAAGUAAAAAAGUAUUUAUAUAUUAGCAUCUAUUUUGUUUGCAAUUCAACUCUUAUGCUAUAGAUCCCCUCUCAAAAAAAAACAAAAAACUCUUUUCCUAUAGAUAUUUCAAAUAUAUAGGUAGGUAAAAGAAAUUGUUGAUUUAAUAUCUUAACAACUUAUUUUCUUCCCAAUUUUUUUUUAAAAUUUUUAUUUUCAAAAUAUUGGGUGUAGUAUUUACCUUAUAUCAAUUAUUUUCAUGUUGUGAGUAGGGCUGAGCAAAGGAACCAGACCCAACCGAAUCCGAUAAAAUCGAUCUACAAUUUGUGUCUCGGGCGGGUUUGAAUGGGUUAUCCGGGUCACGAGCCAACUCAACACAGUUUCGUAAUGGUUGUAACAAUCGGGCUUGGUUUUGAAAUUUCUAAACCCUUUGAGCCCAUACCCGACCUCACAUCUGAUAUAAGUGGGCCUAACUUGACCUUUUAUUUUUAACAUAGGUAUAAAUAACUUUCAUCCUCACUCAUUCACGAUCUCACCCACCUCAAAACACACUGCCCAAACGCCUCUCUCCUAUUAGCUUCAAAGUUUAAUUCUCCUGUUCUCCUUCUAUCUAUUCAAACCCAAUCAUUUCAUCAUUUCCUCUCUCAUGUAAGAUUGAGUUUUUGAUCAAUUUAUAUUAUGUUAUUUAAUGGUCGCUGAUUUAUCUAUAGAUCUACUCAAAGAUUAAAUAGUUUUUAUUCAUCUUCAUCUUUGAUCCUAAUGUGCAGAUCUGUUUUGUGGUUAAUCACGUGCCUGAUCUAUAUGUUUAAAUCACAUCCUACCAGAUCUGUUUCUAUACAUUUUAUGUUUAAAAUUUAAAGCCAUAUGUGCAGAUCUUGUUUAUGAUGAAUCUGAGGAAGAAGAGAAGUACGAUUAAGAUUUUGCAACUUUUUUCUUUGUAAACUCAUAACCAAACCAACCCACAUGCAAACCCACACAACCGCAUAAAUCGCCACCCGGUCAAUCCGAUGCCAUAAACAGUGAGGAUUGGUUUUGAGAUUUUUCACCCAAAAUCGACCGAACCCGUCUGAUUCUUUACCGUAGCUGCUAGUGUCAAUUCACCAGGUAAUAUUCUUUCUCUUAUAUUUUAAGUGUCGUUUUGAAAUAGUUUCACAUGAUAUAUUUAAUAUUUUUGCUUAAACCAAAUAUAAAAUUGUUUAGUUUGUUUAUUUAAACUUUUUUUUUAAACUCAACUUAACCCUAAUAAAAUUAGGUUAUUUGAGCACUUGGUCUUUGAUAUUUUGGGUGAUUUUCGGUUUACUCUCUUUUUAUUUUUUAUUUCUUUUCGGGUAUGUCCGUAUAAUUUAAGAUUUUAAUUGUUUUAAUUCUUACUAACUUAUUUUCUCUAAAUUUUUUGGGUUAUAUAGAACUUAUUUUUGAUUGAAUUAUAUGUAUAAUAUUCAUUGGGAUUACACCUCCAAUAGUUGGUCAUUGAACUAGAUUCCGAGUUUUGAAAAAGAAAUUAAAAUAUUCAUUAAAAAUUCACAUAUCUCAUAAAUAAUAAAAGAAAAAAGAUUACUCCAAUUAUAACCCACAAUUUAUUAAAUGAAUUAUCAACAUCAACUUAAAAUAUAAAAUCAAUAAAUUAUAGUUGUGUAAGUUCAAAUAUUAAAACACAAUCACAAAUCUUAGGUUCCAUGGUUUGCUGGCAAAGCCAAAAUUACCAUCGAAGGUGGCAAAGUGGAUGCCCUCUUUGACACUAAUAAUGCUUUCUUUGGCAUCGAUGAUUUCAUCAAUUUUGACGCCAGGGAUGACAACAAUUUUCUUCUUACUCUUUUUUUCUUCAAUUGAUUUUUUAUAAAUUGAUGAUAAUGCUGAAUUUGGUUCAAUUUAUGUUGACUAUAAAGUGUGAUUCUAAAUAUGAUAAUAAACCGUCUAUGUGAUGCAGUAUGAAAGGUUCAAUAGAUUUUUUUUAUCACGUAACACAGAAUCUGGAAUGCUUUUCACCAAAUCCCAUAGUUGUUUGUUGUUGUUCAUCAUGAUGGUGAAUAUUUAUGUAUGGAUACAAAUUUGAGCCAGAGAAAAUGUAGAGGUAAUGAAGAGUCAAAAUGUAUCAUGCCUUGUACCUAUAGGUACAUAUAUAUAAUUAUAUCAGAAACUACAUUAUUUACUUUAUCUAUUUCCGAUGCUUAUAAUAAAAAUUAAAUUAAAUUUUCGCAAAAUAAAUAAAUAAAAUUCAAAUCCAAAUUUUAGAAUUAUAAUAAUAUAAUAAAUAAAUGAAUAUAAAGAUAUAAUUCAUAAAUAUAAAGAUAAUAUUUUAAAGUUGAAGGAUUUUAUUACUUUUUGCCUUUAGUGUCUCGGGAAAGUAAAUUCUCUGCAUAUUAUUUGUUUGCCUUUAGUGUCUCGAAAAAUGAAUAUUAUUUUAUAUCUUGAAAUAAAAAAUACUUUAUAAAACCUGAUAAUGCACAUAAUUUGGUCAAAAAAAUAAUGUGCAUAGAAUUUACUUUUUCGAGACACUAAAGGUAAAAAGUAAUAACAUCCUCCAACUUUUAAAUAUUAUCUUUAUAUUUAAAUUGUAUCUUUAUAUUCAUUUGUUUAUUAUAUUAUUACAAUUCUAAAAUUUUGAUUUAAAUUUUAUUUAUUUUGUGAAUAAAUUAAAUAUAAUUUUUAUUAUAAGCAUUGGAAAUAGAUAAAAUUAAAUGUUGUAGGUUCAAGGCAUGAUAUAUUUUGACUUUUACCGCUACAAUUUCUCUGUCUCAAAUUUGUAUUCAUACUCAAAUAUUCACCAUCAUCAUGAACAACAACAAACAACUAAGGGAUUUGGUGAAAAGCAUUUCAUAUUCUAAGUUACGUGAGAAGAAAUCUAUUGAACCUUCCAUACCACAUCACAUUGACGGUUAACUAUCAUAUCUAUCUCCACACUUUUAAAGCCAACAUAAAUUGAACCAAAUUCAAAAUUAUAAUCAAUCUAUAAAAAGGCUAUUGAAGAAAAAAGGGUAUGAAGCAAAUUGCUGUCACCCCUAACAUCAAAAUUGAUGAAAUCAACGACGUCAAAGAGGGCAUCAACUUUGCCACCUCCGAUGGUAAUUUUGGCUUUGCCGAAAAGUCAUGGAGCCUAAGAUUUGUGAUUGUGUUUUCAAGGUUCACACACACGCACAACUAGUUUAAUUUUGGCUUUGCCAGAAAACCAUGGAACCUAAGAUUUGUGAUUGUGUUUUUAGUUUUAAUCCAAUUACAUAUUAUCCACCAAAGAUAUCCUAUCAUCGAUUGUGGCAAUUGAACAAAUGACUAUAUGUAACACCUCGAAUUAUAAAUAUUAACAUAUUAGUAUUAUUAUUAUUUUUUUUUUUUGAUAAGCAAGGAACGUAGACAGACAUCAAGAGGCAUCAUCGACAUCCCAACUAGGUUGGCAUCCCGAGAGACCUCCAUCCUAUGCCGCCACGCUCUAAAAAUUUUAUUAAAAAAGGGGAAAAAUAAAUACAAAAGGAGGGGGGACUAGACCAAAACCCUCAAAAAAUAAAAAGAGAAGGAAACAGAAAAUAAACAGAAGAAACAAGAAAAAGGAGCCAAAAAACAGAUCAUGGGAAUCUGUAAUUUGGAAGUCUACAGCUAUCCCUAUAGAAAUGAAGCCUUAAAUCAAUAGGAAGAGUGUCUAGCCAGACCACACCAACACUGGAGUGACCCAUAGAAGCGAACCUAUCUGCGCAGCUGUUUCCUUCACGGAAAAUGUGGGAAGAAAUAACCUCUAAUAUAAUUCAUUGAUCAGUGGAUUUAUUGUCACCCCGUGCACGGGAUUGAGAAGGCUUCUUUGAAAGAACAUGUUGUACCUUUAGUUUCUGCUUCUGAUUUCUUGUAAGAACCGGCAUAAAGGCUGCAGAUGCGUCAGCUGCAGCUUCAGCUGCUGAUCGAGCAUCAUACUCUCGGAUUCUUUCCCACAAAUCUAAACCAUGCUGAAUGUUCUUUCUAGGAUGUACCUCUUGUCUUUGUAAUGUACCAACCUCUUGUAUUUUUUCCGUAGAAAUACCAUGUGGACCAGCAAGAGCAUCAUAAUUACCAAUUCGAGCAUCAUCAGAAUUUUCAAUAAUGUACAAAUUCACGUGAUGGCCCUGUAGGUCAGCAUCUAACGCAUGCAUAGCAACAUGCUCAUCAAUGAAUGAUCUUGAAGCAUUCUCACGAGCACCCGUGGGACUCUCCACCAGCUCCCGUGGGAUCACAUGAUCAUGCUCCACAUCAUCCUGAAGUGGAUCAGAAACAUCAUCGACCGUGGGUAUCUGCAACUCCUCCAACGAUGUCUGAGUUGUCUGUUCCACUCCGUCAGGGCGUACGUCCUCACGCCCAAGAGGGGAUGAGUGUGUGACACUCUCAAUGAAACCGUUGGGACUCUCCACCAGCUCCCUCGAGUUCACAAGAUUGUGUCUCACACCAUCCAGAUGCGAGUUGGUAACAACAGACACCACGGGGUUCUCCACCACCUCCCGUGAUGUCUGUUGAGACCUUCCCGCUUCUACAGGUUGCACGUCAUCGUGCGCUACAUGGGAAACAACCUUCUCCAACACAGAUGUAGGCCUAUCUGAGUCCUCAGUCAAAAUACGAUCAAUUCUAUCAAAAACAUUAUGAAGCGGAAAACUGAACGAGUUUGAUGAUAUGUCUGAUACCGGUACUGCAGGUAAAGAAACCAGAAUUGAUUGAGCAUUUGUGUUGACCGGAAUUGGUGUAGCCUGUGUUGUCUGAGUAACUGGAACCGUCAUCCUGGUAGUGGUAGAAAUAACAGACGGAACCCAGGUCCCUUUACCUCCAAUGUCUGAUACCUGGUAUUAUUAUGAGAAAAUAGUAGUAUUAUUAUUAAUAUUGAUUUGUUUGAUAUUGUUAAUUUAAUAAUAUCACCUCCCUACCACAUAGGAACACCACCUCAGGUUAAUCUUAAUCGUUGAACCGAUCUCUAACUAACUCAUGCAUCUGUCGCUGGAUUUCAUGAAAGUAGUUACGAUGACCUAUAAGUGUGGCUCCACGACACGCCCCAGGUACGAUAAUAUCUUACCCGCAUUUCUCACAUUUCUCUCCAAGUUCACAUACUAACUUGGGUGUCAAAGCCGUUACUUGUAUUGCAGGUUUCUUCUCCACCAUUGACGAACAACCUUCGCUGCUCCCGAGCUCUUCCACCUCCGUACCAGAUCAUCAUUAGCUCCAAAAAUUAUAUGUACAGUAUGCUUAAACCCAUGUUACACUUGCCUCAAUACGAAAUGGAAGAUUUCUCAUAGAACUAGAGAGGGAGAGUAACAAAAUUUACUGAAAGAUUUAAUAUAUAUUUUACAUAUAUUAGCUCAAAAAUAAAAAUAAGUUAUAUCAAUAAUGGGAAUGCUACUCUUCUUCCUUCUAAAAAUUGUUGGAAUUAUCUUGUGAAACUUCUUAUUGAAAUGAAGAGAAAACAUAAUCAUGUUUUUAUUUUUUCUUUUUUUGAUCAAGUAGCCUAGUGGCUAGAAUUCACACAAUUAAAUUAUAGAGAAGUGGAGUGUCCGGAGUUCGAACCUCGACCCCUAUAUAUAAUAUGCAAUAUCGCUAUCAACUGAGGAAAGUUCACGGACAUAAAUAUAAUCAUGUUCUUUCCUCAUUAUGUAUUCUCUUAACAGCUUCUAUCGCCGCUAUAUAUUGACGGUGCAAUGUCUGUUGCCAAGAAAGAUUCCAUAUCCUUAAGAUUGUAUUGAUAAUCGUCAUAAAGUAUUCUAUGGAACAAUAUUUUAACCCUGGUAAUCAAUUCCCCCAAACUGAAUAGAACCCUUAGACAUAAUGGUUUGAAGAAUCAAUACUUCUCCUCUUUCUUCUUAAAAUUGUUGGAAUUGUCUCCAUGAAACUUCUUAUUGAACUGAAGAGAAAAACAUAAUCAUGUUAUUUCCUUCUUAUGUAUUCUCUCAACAACUCUUAUCGCCGCUAUUGAUGGUGCAAGGUCUCUCAAAUCCUUUGUCGAUUUACAAUUUAAAUAUAUAUCUAUCUAAAGUAAUAAUCAUUCAAUAUCCAAACAAUUCAUUUUUCUCCCCAUUUUGGUCGUUUUCUAUUUUUAAAAUGCCGGUUGCCAAUGACUUUUGACCAGCUAAUAUCUUUCUCUUUUAUAAUCCAUUUUUGAAUGUAUUAAUGUGCGUAUAUAUCAAAAAGAGAAAAAAUAUUAAUCAUAUUUUAAAAUUUAGGAUGUAGGUUAUGUAUUUACCUUGUAAAAUAAUACCGGUUGUCAAUGACUUAUGACGUCUUUCUCUUUUAUAAUCCACUUUUGAGUGCAUUAAUUUGGCUUAUAUAUCAAAAAGAGAAAAACAAUUAAUCAUAAAUAUAAAUUAAAAAUUAUUUAUAUAUUACCAUCUAUUUUGUUUCCCAUUCAACUCUUUUGCCUAUAUAUCACCUAUAAAAAAAAAUAAAAAAAAAAACUCUUUUCCUAUAGAUAUUUCGAAUAGGUAGGUAAAAGAAAUUGUUGAUUCAAUAUCUUAAAAAAAAAAAUUCUUUCCAAUUUUUUUUUUUUCAAUUUUUUUUCUUCAAAAUACUGGGUGUAGUAUUUACCUUAUAUCCAUUUUUUCCAUGCUGCAAGUAAAGCUGGUUAAAGGAACCGAACAUAACUGAACCCGAUAAAACAGUAUCUACAAUUUGUGUAUUGGGCGGGUUCGAAUGGUUUAUGCGGGUCAUGGGCCAAAUCAACACAAUUUCAUAUGGAUUGUUACGAUUGGGCUCAGUUUUGAAAUUUCUAAACCAUUUGAAUCCAUACCCGACUGCACAUGUGAUAUAAAUGGGCCUAACUUGACCUUUUAUUAUUAACCUAGGUAUAAAUAACUUUCAUCCUCACUCAUUCACGAUCUCACCCACCUCAAAACACACUGCCCAAACGCCUCUCUCCUAUUAGCUUCAAAGUUUAAUUCUCCCGUUCUCCUUCUAUCUAUUCAAACCCAAUCAUUUCAUCAUUUCCUCUCUCAUGUAAGAUUGAGUUUCUAAUCAAUUUGUAUUAUGUUAUUUAAUGGUCGCUGAUUUAUCUAUAGAUCUACUCAAAGAUUAAAUAGUUUUUAUUCAUCUUCAUCUUUGAUCCAUAUGUGCAGAUAUGUUUUGUGGUUAAUUACGUGCUUGAUCUAUAUGUUUAAAUAACGUCCUAUCAGAUCUGUUUUUAUACAUUUUAUGUUUCAAAUUUAAACCCAUAUGUGCAGAUCUUAUUUAUGAUGAAUCUGAGGAAGAAGUGAAGUACGAUUAAGAUUUUGUAGCUUUUUUUCUUUGUAAACUCAUAACCGAACGAAUCCACCUCCACAACCGCAUAAACCACCACCUGACCAAUAUGAUGCCAUAAACAGUUAGGAAUGGUUUUGAUAUACUGCUCUUUGGUUCCAUUCAAAUAUGGGAUUUUUCACCCAGAAUCGUCUGAACCCGUCUGAUGCUCUACCUUAGCUGCGAAGGUUAAUUGAUCAGGUAACAUUAUUUUCUAAUAUUUUAAGUGGCAUUUCGAGAUAGUUUCACAUAAUAUAUUUAAUAUUUUCUUAAACCAAAUAUAAAAUUAUUUAGUUUGUUUAUUUAAACUUUUUUUUUAAACUCAACUUAACCCUAAUAAAACUAGGUUAUUUGUGCAUUUGAUCCCUGACAUUUUGGGUGAUUUUUGUUUUACUCUCUUGUUUUUUCUUUUCUUUUCAGUAAUGUCUAUAUAAUUUAAGAUUUUAAUUGUUUUAAUUCUAACUAGCUUAAUUUCCCGGCAUUUUCCAGGUUAUAUAGAACUUAUUAUUAUUUUUUUGACAAGAUAUAAAACUUAUUAUUGUUUGAGUUAUAUGUAUAAUAUUCAUUGGGAUUUAACCCCUCCAAUA
rnacentral:lncRNA from 1 species